GCAGGAGGCAUUUCUGAUCUGGACCUGGAGAAAUAUGACGCUGAUGAGCAAGUCAAGAUCAUCUGCCUCGGAGACAGCGCUGUGGGCAAAUCCAAGCUUAUGGAGAGAUUCCUUAUGGAUGGAUAUCGGCCUCAGCAGCUGUCCACCUACGCGUUGACUCUCUACAAAUACAGCACAACCAUCAAUGGACAAACUAUACUGGUACAUUU